GGGGCCGUACUGGUUUCGACGGGGGUAGUGAGGCUGGAAUAGCGGGCCGUGGCGCCUGGCCACGAUAAAACGGGCAACUUUUUAAAUUUAACUGACAACAAACCUGUUGCCAUCGCUGCCUAAUUAGGCGCGCAUCCGCCCUGGGACGUCCACUGGCCCAGGCUCGGGUGUCAUUUUAAGUGGAGCACGUGCGUAUGGUAAGCUUUGCCCAUACCACGCAUUAUGAAGCUACCAAUUCCCGUAGGGUGUUUGUUCCCGCCGGGGAAAGGGAAUGUAAAUAACAAACUGCGCCCGGAGAAGUUCCUUCCAAGUUGCUUUCGGACAGGGGUUCGAUUCCCCUCGGCUCCACCA
rnacentral:tmRNA from 1 species